rnacentral:rRNA from 1 species
GAUGAACGCUGACAGAAUGCUUAACACAUGCAAGUCUUUGGCGAAUCUGUGCUUGCACCGGCUAGCCAAGGCGGACGGGUGAGUAACGCGUAAAGAACUUGCCCUGCAGACAGGGAUAACAGACGGAAACGACUGAUAACACCUGAUACAGUUGCCGGCACGCAUGUGCCUGGCAAUGAAAAGAGAUGCUGCAGGAGAGCUUUUCGUCCUAUUAGCUUGUUGUUGAGGUGACGGCUCACCAAGGCGAUGAUAGGUAGCCGGCCUGAGAGGGUGAACGGCCACAAGGGGACUGAGAUACGGCCCUUACUCCUACGGGAGGCAGCAGUGGGGAAUAUUGGACAAUGGGGGCAACCCUGAUCCAGCAAUUCUGUGUGCACGAAGAAGGUUUUCGGAUUGUAAAGUGCUUUCAGCAGGGAAGAAGAAAGUGACGGUACCUGCAGAAGAAGCGACGGCUAAAUACGUG